GGGCUUGGCCUGGAGGUUGGCACAUGCCUGGUUUCCUUCGGGGAGAACAGUCCUUGUUUCGUCGUGGGAUUUGGCGUGGAAGGCCGAAGACUAUCGCGUGUGUAUCCAAACGGUGCUUUGGUGCCUCGGUUGCCAGAGGGGUUGCGUUGCCCUGUGGGAAGCUGCCAGCUGACUCGUGGGGUGGCUAGCUUUGUGGCAGUGUCUCUGGAUGCUAGGUAAGUUACCGUAGGACUCGGUGGGUUGCUUAGAUUGCAUGGUGUAGCCCUUGUCUAAUUCCUCUCCAUUGGUUUUGGAACAGCAGCGGAAUGUGGCGCGUUUGUGUUCGGAGCUCACAAUGGAUAGUGGCCUUGUAGAACCAUCUCCAGCCUAACGAUCUGCGGCUACUUGGAGAUUCUGUCCCUCGACUUCCCACGGCGUCGGUGGCUGCUGUUUUGUUUCGGUCCGGCUCACGCUCGGGAUUCGUCAACCCGGCGGGCUCUCGCUACCUUUGAUAAGGGAACGCACAUCUGUGACUGUGUUUCUGAGUGCCUCUUGUCCAUGUUGUUUAUUUCUGUGGUCCAUGUGUAUAUCAAAUACUCGAAAGCACUGAUAAGUCCGUCUCCCAGAACGUGCCUUCUGCCAAUCUUAUUGUAACAUAGGGGAGCGUGAUUUGGAGUGUACUAUUUGUUCCCCUUUGUGGGUUGGGCUAUCGCAUGGUACUUGGUGGGGUCCAGUCUGCAUCGUCCCCCCACAUUUAGUAUUUACAUUUAAGCAUUGCCACAAUACUAGUGGCAGGAGUUUGUGCGCAUUACUUACUGUGAAUAAUUGUAUCACUGUCUCUUCUUCUCUCUCUCACCUCUCUCUCUUUCCUAUCGGACAGUAUUAACAUUUAAGCAUUGCCACAAUACUAGUGGCAGGAGUUUGUGCGCAUUACUUACUGUGAAUAAUUGUAUC